AUCCCAGAGCAGAAUACCUGGUAGGUCAGGCGGGAAACCUGGGAGAGCAGUACAUCUACUUUUCGCGGCUGAACUCUUGACGACUCGACUUUUCGACUAUUCGACUAAUCCCUACAUUACCUACUCGUUUUUUUACAAGUGAAAUGCCCCCGAAGAAGAAACAAAAAAAAGACAAUGGUUUCAUGGUAUUCAUGAAAUCUAUGAAACCACAAUUAGAAGCCAAAGGACAUAAGUUUCCUAGAGGCUUGACUGACGUUAUUCCGGUGUGCUCUCCGUUAUGGAAUAAAUUGUCACCUGAAGAAAAGGCAAGCUACCAUCAAAAAGCUAAAGAUGGUGGUGGUACUACUUUUAUCAAAGAAGAGAGAUGUGAUACUCGGGGAGUUCCAUUAAAUUGGAAGGAAAGGGAAGAGCAAAAGAAAAUAUUGGAAAAAGAUCAUCUUCUGCAGAAAGUAGAAGAUAUGAUUUCAUACUUUGCUACUCAAGGAACUCUCGAGAAUCACUACUUUUAUCUGGCACAUUUCAACAUUGCUGUCGCUACCAGUGAGGGAGAGUACCCUCCAUGUGAAAUCGCUAUAGUGAAGUUUUCGCUUCUGGAUGGGAUAGCUAAGUGUUACCAUGACUUUGUAGAACCUGGUCAAAUCCGACUGGGGUAUGCCCACGAAGCCAAGCUACACUCUGAAAACACACACAAUAUCCCAACAUUUGGAUUCAAACUAGCCAAUUCAGAUUAUGUUAACAUUACGAAUAACAUCAAGGAAAUGCUCAAACAACCAGAUGGCGGGAUUGCUCCUUUAUUCGUGGUCGACGAAGACAACGCGAAAGCGAUUUAUAUAGUGGACUGGUUAGUCAAAAAGAGUUGCCAACUGGACGAUUCGUACGAGACGUGCAGUCCGUUCAAGAUCUACAGUUUGAACAAACUUUUUUACGAGUUGCGUCGCCAGGCCGACGUGAACAAUUCGACGUUGAGAUUUUCCAGCAUUGCGCUAGUGGCCGAACACUUUGGCAAAGGAAUGUUUUUCUACAGCAAAAAUAUGGCCUGCCAGUGGCAUGUGGAAGAAGACAAUGUAACGUUUUGUUCGCUAACGCGGGUGCGCAACUACGCCUACACGAUUUCCGACUUGUGCUGCGAGUACUAUGACUUGUCUCUGCUGCCUAAUCGCCACUGCCCUUCUGAAAUUGCUGAUGACAACAAAUAUGUCGUAAUACCCAAAGUGACUGAAAUGGAAGAACCUAAGGCACCGGUUGAAGUGAAGAAGAAGAAGGAGGAGGAGGAAGAUGACAGAGAACCAUCCGGGCCACCACGGUUGCCCAAUACUCCUGCCACUGCCAAUUUCAAGGGUCCUGGAACAGGGCGUGGCGUUUUGGGCGGAUCGAUGGGCCCUGUUUCGUCCGCCACUCAAUCGCCAGGUCGAUCGCGAGCAAUUGAAACGGCACCCCCAGCUGGACGAGGUCGCGGCCGCGGACUUCUUUUACUUGAUGAUGACUCGGAUUGAUUCUCCCUUUCCCUUUACCAAGUUUACAUGGUAAAUCUUAUUCGCACGCGUUGCGGCGACGCGUAAUUAGACGGCGUCGUGGAAACAACGUCAUCUGGCGUUUGAAUGCUUUUACAUCAACAAGGCGACGACCGGGAAACUUUUGCCGCAAAAGCAGCCAGCGUCGUCAAUAUUUUUAAAAAAGACUCAAAAACUCCCUCCUAAAACGCCCAGAGCAAGAGAGAGAGAGACGCAAACUGUUGCGGAUCGAUUCUUUUCAUCCUUCUUAUCCGGCCCUUCACUAGUCAUUUAACAUCUGAAUAGCAGAGCUAAAACGUUCCAUCUAGAUUCCAGCCAACCUCCUCCUUUCUCCAAAUUUUGUUUGCCCUUCAAGAUAAAUGUGGUAAAUAUAGCGGAAAGUAUUUUUUAACUCGAA
rnacentral:misc_RNA from 1 species